UGCCCAGCAACUCCUAUCCCUACCUCCUCGUGGUACUGGCCGGGUACGAGUAACCUUGGGGAAGAUCGGGUAAUAAACCCCCGGUGGGAUCUUUGGUCGUAUGCUGACAGGGAAGG
rnacentral:ribozyme from 1 species